rnacentral:rRNA from 1 species
GAACGCUAGCUACAGGCUUAACACAUGCAAGUCGAGGGGCAGCAUGGUCUUAGCUUGCUAAGGCCGAUGGCGACCGGCGCACGGGUGAGUAACACGUAUCCAACCUGCCGUCUACUCUUGGACAGCCUUCUGAAAGGAAGAUUAAUACAAGAUGGCAUCAUGAGUCCGCAUGUUCACAUGAUUAAAGGUAUUCCGGUAGACGAUGGGGAUGCGUUCCAUUAGAUAGUAGGCGGGGUAACGGCCCACCUAGUCUUCGAUGGAUAGGGGUUCUGAGAGGAAGGUCCCCCACAUUGGAACUGAGACACGGUCCAAACUCCUACGGGAGGCAGCAGUGAGGAAUAUUGGUCAAUGGGCGAGAGCCUGAACCAGCCAAGUAGCGUGAAGGAUGACUGCCCUAUGGGUUGUAAACUUCUUUUAUAAAGGAAUAAAGUCGGGUAUGGAUACCCGUUUGCAUGUACUUUAUGAAUAAGGAUCGGCUAACUCCGUGCCAGCAGCCGCGGUAAUACGGAGGAUCCGAGCGUUAUCCGGAUUUAUUGGGUUUAAAGGGAGCGUAGAUGGAUGUUUAAGUCAGUUGUGAAAGUUUGCGGCUCAACCGUAAAAUUGCAGUUGAUACUGGAUAUCUUGAGUGCAGUUGAGGCAGGCGGAAUUCGUGGUGUAGCGGUGAAAUGCUUAGAUAUCACGAAGAACUCCGAUUGCGAAGGCAGCCUGCUAAGCUGCAACUGACAUUGAGGCUCGAAAGUGUGGGUAUCAAACAGGAUUAGAUACCCUGGUAGUCCACACGGUAAACGAUGAAUACUCGCUGUUUGCGAUAUACAGCAAGCGGCCAAGCGAAAGCGUUAAGUAUUCCACCUGGGGAGUACGCCGGCAACGGUGAAACUCAAAGGAAUUGACGGGGGCCCGCACAAGCGGAGGAACAUGUGGUUUAAUUCGAUGAUACGCGAGGAACCUUACCCGGGCUUAAAUUGCAGAUGAAUUACGGUGAAAGCCGUAAGCCGCAAGGCAUCUGUGAAGGUGCUGCAUGGUUGUCGUCAGCUCGUGCCGUGAGGUGUCGGCUUAAGUGCCAUAACGAGCGCAACCCUUGUUGUCAGUUACUAACAGGUUCCGCUGAGGACUCUGACAAGACUGCCAUCGUAAGAUGUGAGGAAGGUGGGGAUGACGUCAAAUCAGCACGGCCCUUACGUCCGGGGCUACACACGUGUUACAAUGGGGGGUACAGAGGGCCGCUACCACGCGAGUGGAUGCCAAUCCCAAAAACCUCUCUCAGUUCGGACUGGAGUCUGCAACCCGACUCCACGAAGCUGGAUUCGCUAGUAAUCGCGCAUCAGCCACGGCGCGGUGAAUACGUUCCCGGGCCUUGUACACACCGCCCGUCAAGCCAUGGGAGCCGGGGGUACCUGAAGUGCGUAACCGCGAGGAGCGCCCUAGGGUAAAACUGGUA